AAUGGGCGAAAGCCUGAUCCAGCCAUUCCGCGUGAGUGAAGAAGGCCUUCGGGUUGUAAAGCUCUUUCGGCAGGAACGAAACGGCCGUUUCUAAUAAAGACGGCUAAUGACGGUACCUGAAGAAGAAGCACCGGCUAACUACGUGCCAGCAGCCGCGGUAAUACGUAGGGUGCGAGCGUUAAUCGGAAUUACUGGGCGUAAAGCGUGCGCAGGUGGUUGUUUAAGACAGAUGUGAAAUCCCCGGGCUUAACCUGGGAACUGCGUUUGUGACUGGACAGCUAGAGUGCGGCAGAGGGGGGUGGAAUUCCACGUGUAGCAGUGAAAUGCGUAGAGAUGUGGAGGAACACCGAUGGCGAAGGCAGCCCCCUGGGCCAGCACUGACGCUCAUGCACGAAAGCGUGGGGAGCAAA
rnacentral:rRNA from 1 species